AUCAGCCUCACACUGGAAUGCAAGGAAAGAAUUAUAUCCUUUUCCCACUGCUGUGGUAUUUCAGCUGAAAUCAGCCUCAUCAAAGCAGCAACUAUGUACCAAGGGGUUGACAAAUAGAGGAAAUUUGUGAAGCUGGGCUUCUUGGCAAGUGUUUUGUCCUUGGAAAUUCUGUUCCUCUCAGCCUUCUGGGGGCUCGCUCUGUCACCCAGGUCGGAGUGUAAUGGUGUGAUCACAGCUCACUGCAGCCUCAACCUUCUGGGCUCAAGUGAUCCUUAUGCCUCAGCCUCCUGAGCAACUGGGACUACAGGCAUGUGCCACCAUGCCCAGGACUCAAAGGAGAUAGGAGAUUCCAGGAUAAAGAAUAUAUAUUAAUCACACUUUAGAGUACAGUGAAGACUU